rnacentral:rRNA from 1 species
CCUGGCUCAGGACGAACGCUGGCGGCGUGCCUAACACAUGCAAGUCGAGCGGGGACAUACGACGGAGUCAAAGUUUCGGAUGGAGACAAAGAUGUAUGUUCUAGCGGCGGACGGGUGAGUAACGCGUGAGCAACCUGUCCCUUACAGGGGAUAACACAGCGAAAGUUGUACUAAUACCGCAUGAGACCACGGGGAGACAUCUUCCAGGGGUCAAAGGAAGCAAUUCCGGUAAGGGGUGGGCUCGCGUCCGAUUAGAUAGUUGGUGAGGUAACGGCCCACCAAGUCGACGAUCGGUAGCCGACCUGAGAGGGUGAUCGGCCACAUUGGGACUGAGACACGGCCCAAACUCCUACGGGAGGCAGCAGUGGGGAAUAUUGGGCAAUGGGGGGAACCCUGACCCAGCAACGCCGCGUGAGGGAAGAAGGUUUUCGGAUCGUAAACCUCUGUCCUUGGUGAAGAGGAAGAGACGGUAGCCAAGGAGGAAGCCCCGGCUAACUACGUGCCAGCAGCCGC